UCCGUAGGCGGGUAAUUAAGUCAGUGGUGAAAUCUUCCGGCUCAACCGGGAACCUGCCAUUGAUACUGUUAGUCUUGAGUUCGGUUGAGGUAGGCGGAAUGUGUAAUGUAGCGGUGAAAUGCUUAGAUAUUACACAGAACACCAAUUGCGUAGGCAGCUUACUAGACCGACACUGACGCUGAGGCACGAAAGCGUGGGGAGCGAACAGGAUUAGAUACCCUGGUAGUC
rnacentral:rRNA from 1 species